UCAGACAAUACUUUUCAUGGCUGGCUUCGGUGAAAAGGGAAACAGGUGCAAAUCCUGUACGAACUCGUCACCGUAAUUAGGGAGCAGAAGUCGAGAUAUCACUGGGAAACCGGGAAGAUGACGGAUGCAGAGAUCUUUAAGCCGGGAGACCUGCCUGAGUGCUGUACAGAA
rnacentral:ncRNA from 1 species